CCUACGGGAGGCAGCAGUGGGGAAUAUUGCACAAUGGGCGAAAGCCUGAUGCAGCAACGCCGCGUGAAGGAAGAAGGCCUUCGGGUCGUAAACUUCUGUCCUAGGGGAAGAAGAACUGACGGUACCCAAGGAGGAAGCCCCGGCUAACUACGUGCCAGCAGCCGCGGUAAUACGUAGGGGGCAAGCGUUAUCCGGAAUUAUUGGGCGUAAAGAGUACGUAGGUGGCAACUUAAGCGCAGGGUAUAAGGCAAUGGCUUAACCAUUGUUCGCCCUGCGAACUGGGAUGCUUGAGUGCAGGAGAGGAAAGCGGAAUUCCUAGUGUAGCGGUGAAAUGCGUAGAUAUUAGGAGGAACACCAGUGGCGAAGGCGGCUUUCUGGACUGUAACUGACACUGAGGUACGAAAGCGUGGGGAGCAAACAGGAUUAGAUACCCUUGU
rnacentral:rRNA from 1 species